GGAAUAUUGGGCAAUGGGGGGAACCCUGACCCAGCCAUGCCGCGUGAGGGAAGUAGGCCCUACGGGUCGUGAACCUCUUUUGCCCGGGGACAAGGACGCGCACGAGAUGCGCGUUUGCGGGUACCGGGCGAAUAAGCAUCGGCUAACUCCGUGCCAGCAGCCGCGGUAAUACGGAGGAUGCGAGCGUUAUCCGGAUUCAUUGGGUUUAAAGGGUGCGCAGGCGGCGCGGUAAGUCAGCGGUGAAAGCCAGGGGCCCAACCCCGGAAGUGCCGUUGAUACUGCCGUGCUUGAAUGCGGUCGAGGCGGGCGGAAUGUGGUGUGUAGCGGUGAAAUGCAUAGAUAUGCCACAGAACGCCGAUAGCGGAGGCAGCUCGCCAGGCCUGCAUUGACGCUCGGGCACGAAAGCGUGGGGAUCGAACA
rnacentral:rRNA from 1 species